rnacentral:rRNA from 1 species
AAAAAUUAAAAUUAAAAUACUAAAAUAAUAAAUAAAUAUUUAUUGAAAAUUAAAUAAUUUGGCGGUAUUUUAGUUCAUUUAGAGGAAUCUGUUUAAUAAUUGAUAUUCCACGAAUAAAUUUACUUAAUUUUAUAAUUUUGUAUAUCGUUGUUAAAAAAAUAUUUUUUAAUAAAAUUAAUAUUUUAAAAUUAAAAUAUAAUUUUAAAUCAGAUCAAGAUGCAGAUUAUAAUUAAGAAUAUAAUGGAUUACAAUAAAUUUAUUUAAAUGAAUGUUAAUUUGUAAUAAUUAAUUGAAGGUGGAUUUAAAUGUAAUUUUAUUUAAUUUAAUAAAAUGAUUAAAAAUUGAAAUAUGU